rnacentral:rRNA from 1 species
AUUGAACGCUGGCGGCAUGCUUUACACAUGCAAGUCGAACGGUAACAGGCCUUCGGGUGCUGACGAGUGGCGAACGGGUGAGUAAUGCAUCGGAACGUACCCAGAGGUGGGGGAUAACGCAGCGAAAGCUGUGCUAAUACCGCAUGUGAUCUGAGGAUGAAAGCGGGGGACCGAGCAGCAAUGUUUGGCCUCGCGCCUUUGGAGCGGCCGAUGUCGGAUUAGCUAGUUGGUGGGGUAAAGGCCUACCAAGGCGACGAUCCGUAGCUGGUCUGAGAGGACGACCAGCCACACUGGGACUGAGAAACGGCCCAGACUCCUACGGGAGGCAGCAGUGGGGAAUUUUGGACAAUGGGCGCAAGCCUGAUCCAGCAAUGCCGCGUGAGGGAAGAAGGCCUUCGGGUUGUAAACCGCUUUUGGCAGGAACGAAACGGUGUCCGCUAAUACCGGGCGCUAAUGACGGUACCUGCAGAAUAAGCACCGGCUAACUACGUG